rnacentral:rRNA from 1 species
UGGGGAAUCUUGGACAAUGGGCGCAAGCCUGAUCCAGCCAUGCCGCGUGAGUGAUGAAGGCCUUAGGGUUGUAAAACUCUUUCGUCGGGGACGAUAAUGACGGUACCCGAAGAAGAAGCUCCGGCUAACUUCGUGCCAGCAGCCGCGGUAAUACGAAGGGAGCUAGCGUUGUUCGGAAUCACUGGGCGUAAAGCGCACGUAGGCGGAUAGUUAAGUCAGGGGUGAAAUCCUGGGGCUCAACCCCAGAACUGCCUUUGAUACUGGCUGUCUCGAGGUCGAGAGAGGUUGGUGGAAUUCCUAGUGUAGAGGUGAAAUUCGUAGAUAUUAGGAAGAACACCAGUGGCGAAGGCGGCCAACUGGCUCGAUACUGACGCUGAGGUGCGAAAGCGUGGGGAGCAAACAGGAUUAGAUACCCGAGUAGUCCCUGAGCGGGCUGGCAAGGCGCAU